AUCGUUUUCAGAUGGCUUUUUUGUUUAAGGGAAUCAUCUCAGAUUAUUUUCAAUUAUAUUUUCACACAAUCAAAUUUCAAUUUUGCAAUAUAUACGGAUAUAAGCGAGUUUGAAUUGAUAACAAUAUCAUCAAAUCCCUGAAACUUAGGAUUUGGGGGUUUGAUUUAAAUGACUAUCAUUCACAUACAACCCUAAUCCUACAAACUCCAUACUGCUAUCAAACAUCACGCUAUGAGAAGUGAGAACCACAAUCAAUUGAAUAGGCCCUUGAAACCAAGAGAAUUGAAGUGAUGAAGGUAGUGUUUUAGCAGCUUGGUGUUAAACAAAUGGCUUCUACGUUUUUUUUAUCAUGAUCCUCGACAAAUAAGGCUGGAGACUGUAGUGGAAAGGCUUUAAAAGGGUUAUGUAAGUUUUUUAUGAGAAAAUGAUGGUUGGAGAUUCCAGCUCACAAGGACAUUUGUUUAACUUCUUAGUUAAUCUUGACAUUAGAUGUUCUUACUUGCAAAUGACCAGGGAUUCAUGUUUAUAGAAUGCUGGGAAAUUGCUGCAUAACCUCCAAUACCAGUUAUGACAACUUCAAAGCAGCCACUCCCAGCCAAAAGAGUACCCGAUCCGGAUGAUGCUUGACUUAAAGGUAACUCUGCUUAUACAUGUAAACCAAAUAUUGCUUCAACGUUCUCUAGAACGCCACUACCUACCACUCAUUAUGACAUAUGUAACUAUUUAGUAGAGUUGGUAAUUUCUAUGCUUCUUAUGUUUAAGUAUGUUUUACCUCUACGGGUCAAACAUUUAAGAUCAAAUAAUUGGCUUCACAAAUUGAACGGAUUACCAGUUGCCUAGAGUAUAAAUUUGAUGCAUAAAACCUCCUUGGUGGUUAUUAACUAAAUUAUUACAAUUUUAUUUGACACAUUAAUUUUUUGUAGAAUAAUUAACAGAAAAAGCUACAUUUUAUAAACAAGUGUUCAGGGUUAAGCCUCACCUGUACAAAAUGAUCAGCCCAUUCUCCACCUCUAAUAAUACUUAAGAAUCAGUAUUAUGUGCGGAUACGAUCAAUAAUAGCCUACUGCCCCACAAUAGUUGUAAAAAAAGCAUAUCUGCAUAUGUAUAUGCAACAUUGAUAUGUCGUAUUUUAUGCCCAUUUCCCAUAGCUUAAAGUGUCGAUUAGCGAGGAUUACGAGUCAUUUUCGUAUACAUUUGGUGCGUUUAUGGUAUUUGUUAGUGUUUCAGGUGGAAAACAGGUACCUAAGCGAUAUUUUGCAGAAAACUAAGUUUCUGGAGCAAAAUGGGUGUUUACAGAUGUUUCACGUGGCUCGUAGGUAAAGAAUCGAAGAAAGUCAAAGCUGGUCAAAAUGGUCACCGCAAGUCAACAGGACACUGCGACGCAGUAUGGUAAUGCGCCGCAGUAUUCCAAGUCGAGGUUAAAACUGCUUCGCAGCAUAGGCAAACUGCGACGCAGUUUGUGCAUAUACGACAGGAGGCCAGUCAAAGAAAGUCAAAGUCAAGAAAAGUCAAAGAAGACACUGCGACGUAGUUUGGGACUGCGACGCAGUGUCAUGCCGAAUCUGCUGAAUUUAGUCAGCAUAUAAAUAGCUGCAAUAAACAUUCCAAAAACCUAUCUUUCACUUUUCAGACGAUUUUAAGAGCUUUUCCUAGGGUUUAUCUUAUUUUUCAUCAUUGUGGAGGAUCAAUGACUCGUUCGGAAUCAUUUCGUUAUUCGUUUUUCAAUCCUUUGUAUUCGGUAACAAUAAAUUCUUUCGUUUUGAUUUGUUAUUUCAUAUCUAA